rnacentral:siRNA from 1 species
GCAGUUCAAUAUAGCUCUACUUGC